rnacentral:rRNA from 1 species
UACGGAGGGAGCUAGCGUUGUUCGGAAUUACUGGGCGUAAAGCGCACGUAGGCGGCUCUUUAAGUCGGAGGUGAAAUCCUGGAGCUCAACUCCAGAACUGCCUUCGAUACUGUAGAGCUUGAGUUCGGGAGAGGUGAGUGGAACUGCGAGUGUAGAGGUGAAAUUCGUAGAUAUUCGCAAGAACACCAGUGGCGAAGGCGGCUCACUGGCCCGAUACUGACGCUGAGGUGCGAAAGCGUGGGGAGCAACAGG